CCUACGGGUGGCAGCAGUGGGGAAUAUUGCGCAAUGGGCGAAAGCCUGACGCAGCGACGCCGCGUGAGGGAUGAAGGUCUUCGGAUCGUAAACCUCUGUCAGCAGGGAAGAACGGUCACGGUGCUAAUCAGCAGUGAAUGGACGGUACCGGCAAAGGAAGCACCGGCUACCUCCGUGCCAGCAGCCGCGGUAAUACGGAGGGUGCGAGCGUUAAUCGGAAUUACGGGGCGGAAAGCGCUCGUAGGCGGUAUGUCACGUCAAGGGUGAAAUCCCCGCGCUCAACGUUGGAACUGCCUUUGAAACUGGCACCCUGGAGUUUGUGCGACGCUCGUGGCUUUCCAGGUGU
rnacentral:rRNA from 1 species